UAUCACAUAAAUACUAACUGCAUAGCUUGGCGUUGCAUAUCUAUGGCACAUAUCAUUUCUCUGCAUAUCACAAUUCUACUCUUUAUGUCAACGGAGAAGGAUUAGGAAAUCGUGCUCUGUAAUAACAGGUGGCGGAAGCUAUCAGAAAUCGGAAACAGCCACGCGGCUGUUAUCGGCUCCCAACCCCGAAUGUCCCGAAAGUUUGUUCCUUUUGCGUGCGACUAUUGAAGCGAUAAAAAUAGGAGCAUCUAAGAAAUAGGAGCAUGCGUGCGGAGCAAGGCCUUGCUGUAGACAAAUAGAUAAGUAGAAGUUAUAUCAUUCAUUAAAUGUACGAAGAGCUUUCUAUUAUAUAUAUCUUUUCUGUCUUCCAUUUGUUUUUUUGAAUAAUUACGCAACAAUUUGUUUCUCUCCGAUUUGUUUACAAGUAUCAGCGCUGCUUUGUGCAAAAGCUGCAUACUCAUUGCGGAGUCGCAGACACGUAAAGAAUAAUAUAACGAAUAAAGUAUACAUUAGUUGAAACUAAAAAGUAUGAUUAUUAUUUAAAACUAAAACUCUCUUGAGUUACUCAAUAAUUUCUAACAAAAAGUACUUGAAACAAAAUGUAAUUCUUUUGAUAUAAUCUAACUAUUCGUCGUU